GACGAACGCUGGCGGCGUGCCUAAUACAUGCAAGUCGAACGCUUCUUUCCUCCCGAGUGCUUGCACUCAAUUGGAAAGAGGAGUGGCGGACGGGUGAGUAACACGUGGGUAACCUACCCAUCAGAGGGGGAUAACACUUGGAAACAGGUGCUAAUACCGCAUAACAGUUUAUGCCGCAUGGCAUAAGAGUGAAAGGCGCUUUCGGGUGUCGCUGAUGGAUGGACCCGCGGUGCAUUAGCUAGUUGGUGAGGUAACGGCUCACCAAGGCCACGAUGCAUAGCCGACCUGAGAGGGGGAUCGGCCACACUGGGACUGAGAAACGGCCCAGACUCCUACGGGAGGUAGCAGUAGGGAAUCUUCGGCAAUGGACGAAAGUCUGACCGAGCAACGCCGCGUGAGUUAAGAAGGUUUUCGGAUCGUAAAACUCUGUUGUUAGAGAAGAACAAGGACGUUAGUAACUGAACGUCCCCUGACGGUAUCUAACCAGAAAGCCACGGCUAACUACGUG
rnacentral:rRNA from 1 species